rnacentral:tRNA from 1 species
AGCGGGAUAGAGCAGCGGUAGCUCGUCAGGUUCAUUCCCUGAAGGUCGGGGGUUCGACUCCCUCUCCCGCAA